UGCGUUUUUUGCCCAGGCGGAGCUCGACCGCCGUCUGAAGUCAUGAACACCUUUGUCGAUACGCAUCGUGAUGUUUUUGGGGUCGAGCCGAUCUGCCGUGUCUUGCAGAUCGCCCCG
rfam:Acidithiobacillus sp. GGI-221 contig_1527, whole genome shotgun sequence.